AUUGAACGCUGGCGGCAGGCCUAACACAUGCAAGUCGAACGAGUGGCGGACGGGUGAGUGAUGUCUGGGCAACUGCCCGAUGGAGGGGGAUAACUACUGGAAACGGUAGCUAAUACCGCAUACCAUCGGAUGUGCCCCUAUGGGAUUAGCUAGUAGGUGGGGUAACGGCUCACCUAGGCGACGAUCCCUAGCUGGUCUGAGAGGAUGACCAGCCACACGGGAACCGAGACACGGUCCAGACUCCUACGGGAGGCAGCAGUGGGGAAUAUUGCACAAUGGGCGCAAGCCUGAUACAGCCAUGCCGCGUGUAUGAAGAAGGCCUUCGGGUUGUAAAGUACUUUCAGCGAGGAGGCGUUACUCGCAGAAGAAGCACCGGCUAACUCCGUGCCAGCAGCCGCGGUAAUUC
rnacentral:rRNA from 1 species